GACGAACGCUGGCGGCGUGCCUAAUACAUGCAAGUCGAACGCUUCUUUCCUCCCGAGUGCUUGCACUCAAUUGGAAAGAGGAGUGGCGGACGGGUGAGUAACACGUGGGUAACCUACCCAUCAGAGGGGGAUAACACUUGGAAACAGGUGCUAAUACCGCAUAACAGUUUAUGCCGCAUGGCAUAAGAGUGAAAGGCGCUUUCGGGUGUCGCUGAUGGAUGGACCCGCGGUGCAUUAGCUAGUUGGUGAGGUAACGGCUCACCAAGGCCACGAUGCAUAGCCGACCUGAGAGGGUGAUCGGCCACACUGGGACUGAGACACGGCCCAGACUCCUACGGGAGGCAGCAGUAGGGAAUCUUCGGCAAUGGACGAAAGUCUGACCGAGCAACGCCGCGUGAGUGAAGAAGGUUUUCGGAUCGUAAAACUCUGUUGUUAGAGAAGAACAAGGACGUUAGUAACUGAACGUCCCCUGACGGCAUCUAACCAGAAAGCCACGGCUAACUACGUG
rnacentral:rRNA from 1 species